GUAUAAAUAGUUUAACUAAAAAAUGUUGAUUUGUGGUGUCAAAGAUUUAAUAAUUUUAAUUUAUACU
rnacentral:tRNA from 1 species